CCUACGGGUGGCAGCAGUGAGGAAUAUUGGUCAAUGGGCGCGAGCCUGAACCAGCCAAGUAGCGUGAAGGAUGACUGCCCUACGGGUUGUAAACUUCUUUUAUAAAGGAAUAAAGUGAGGCACGUGUGCCUUUUUGUAUGUACUUUAUGAAUAAGGAUCGGCUAACUCCGUGCCAGCAGCCGCGGUAAUACGGAAGAUCCGCGCUGUAACCGGAUUUGUUGGGUUUAAAGGGAGCGUAGGUGGGUUGUUAAGUCAGUUGUGAAAGUUUGCGGUUCAACCGUAAAAUUGCAAUUGAUACUGGCAGCCUUGAGUACAGUUGAGGUAGGCGGAAUUCGUGGUGUAGCGGUGAAAUGCUUAGAUAUCACGAAGAACUCCGAUUGCGAAGGCAGCUUACUAAACUGCCACUGACAUUGAUGCUCGAAAGUGUGGGUAUCAAACAGGAUUAGAUACCCGGGUAGUC
rnacentral:rRNA from 1 species